UACGUAGGGCGCAAGCGUUAUCCGGAAUUAUUGGGCGUAAAGAGCUCGUAGGCGGUCUGUCGCGUCUGGUGUGAAAUCCCAUGGCUCAACUGUGGGCUUGCAUCGGGUACGGGCAGACUAGAGUGCGGUAGGGGUGACUGGAAUUCCUGGUGUAGCGGUGGAAUGCGCAGAUAUCAGGAGGAACACCAAUAGCGAAGGCAGCUCGCUGGGACGUUACUGACACUGAGGCGCGAAAGCGUGGGGAGCGAACAGG
rnacentral:rRNA from 1 species